rnacentral:rRNA from 1 species
AAGUAUUUAUAUUUUGGAGCGGUUAGUGGCGGACUGGUGAGUAACACGUAAGCAACCUGCCUAUUAGAGGGGAAUAACAGUGAGAAAUCAUUGCUAGUACCGCAUAUGCUGUGAGUAUCGCAUGAUACAAACAGGAAAGGAGCAAUCCGCUAAUAGAUGGGCUUGCGUCUGAUUAGAUAGUUGGUGGGGUAACGGCCUACCAAGUCGACGAUCAGUAGCCGGACUGAGAGGUUGAACGGCCACAUUGGGACUGAGAUACGGCCCAGACUCCUACGGGAGGCAGCAGUCGGGAAUAUUGCACAAUGGAGGAAACUCUGAUGCAGUGACGCCGCGUGCAGGAAGAAGGUUUUCGGAUUGUAAACUGCUUUAGAUAGGGAAGAUAAAAGACGGUACCUAUAGAAUAAGCUCCGGCUAACUACGUGCCAGCAGCCGCGGUAAUACGUAGGGAGCAAGCGUUAUCCGGAUUUAUUGGGUGUAAAGGGUGCGUAGACGGGAAUUUAAGUUAGUUGUGAAAUCCCUCGGCUUAACUGAGGAACUGCAACUAAAACUGAAUUUCUUGAGUGCGGGAGAGGAAAGUGGAAUUCCUAGUGUAGCGGUGAAAUGCGUAGAUAUUAGGAGGAACACCAGUGGCGAAGGCGACUUUCUGGACCGUAACUGACGUUGAGGCACGAAAGUGUGGGGAGCAAACAGGAUUAGAUACCCUGGUAGUCCACACUGUAAACGAUGGAUACUAGGUGUAGGGAAUAUU